GAGAGCGUGUCAGCGUUCU
rnacentral:misc_RNA from 1 species